UACGUAGGGUGCGAGCGUUGUCCGGAAUUAUUGGGCGUAAAGAGCUCGUAGGCGGUGUGUCACGUCGUUCGUGAAAACCUGCAGCUUAACUGUGGGCGUGCGGUCGAUACGGGCAUCACUGGAGUUCGGCAGGGGAGACUGGAAUUCCUGGUGUAGCGGUGAAAUGCGCAGAUAUCAGGAGGAACACCAAUAGCGAAGGCAGCUCGCUGGGACGGUACUGACGCUGAGGUGCGAAAGCGUGGGGAGCAAACAGG
rnacentral:rRNA from 1 species